GGUGAAGAACGUAGCGAAAUGCGAUAAGUAAUGUGAAUUGCAGAAUUCAGUGAAUCAUCGAAUCUUUGAACGCACAUUGCGCCCCUUGGUAUUCCGAGGGGCAUGCCUGUUCGAGCGUCAUUAUAACCCCUCAAGCUCAGCUUGGUGUUGGGGCCUGCUGCACUGGCAGCCCUUAAAAUCAGUGGCGGCGCCAUCUGGCUCUAAGCGUAGUAAUUCUUCUCGCUAUGGAGUCCUGGUGGAUGCUUGCCAUCAACCCCCAAUUUUUCUAUGGUUGACCUCGGAUCAGGUAGGGAUACCCGCUGAACUUAAGCAUAUCAAUAAGCGGAGGA
rnacentral:misc_RNA from 1 species